GCCAGGCAUGGUGGCGCUUGCCUGUAAUCCCAGCUACUUGGAGGCUGAGGCAGGAGAAUCACUUGAACCUGGGAGGUGGAGGUUGCAGUGAGCCCAGAUCGCACCACUGCACUCUAGCCUGGGUGACAGAACGAGACUCUGUCUCAA
rnacentral:SRP_RNA from 1 species